GCAGUCGAGCGGAUGAGGGAGCUUGCUCUUGGAUUCAGCGGCGGACGGGUGAGUAAUGCCUAGGAAUCUGCCUGGUAGUGGGGGAUAACGUUCCGAAAGGAACGCUAAUACCGCGUACGUCCUACGGGAGAAAGCAGGGGACCUUCGGGCCUUGCGCUAUCAGAUGAGCCUAGGUCGGAUUAGCUAGUUGGUGAGGUAAUGGCUCACCAAGGCGACGAUCCGUAACUGGUCUGAGAGGAUGAUCAGUCACACUGGAACUGAGACACGGUCCAGACUCCUACGGGAGGCAGCAGUGGGGAAUAUUAGACAAUGGGCGAAAGCCUGAUCCAGCCAUGCCGCGUGUGUGAAGAAGGUCUUCGGAUUGUAAAGCACUUUAAGUUGUGAGGAAGGGCUGUAGGCUAAUAUCCUGCAGUUUUGACGUUACCAACAGAAUAAGCACCGGCUAACUUCGUGCCAGCAGCCGCGGUAAUACGAAGGGUGCAAGCGUUAAUCGGAAUUACUGGGCGUAAAGCGCGCGUAGGUGGUUCGUUAAGUUGGAUGUGAAAGCCCCGGGCUCAACCUGGGAACUGCAUCCAAAACUGGCGAGCUAGAGUACGGUAGAGGGUAGUGGAAUUUCCUGUGUAGCGGUGAAAUGCGUAGAUAUAGGAAGGAACACCAGUGGCGAAGGCGACUACCUGGACUGAUACUGACACUGAGGUGCGAAAGCGUGGGGAGCAAACGGGAUUAGAUACCCUGGUA
rnacentral:rRNA from 1 species